ACAACAGUCCUUUUUAGGACUACAGCAUGAUUUACUUAAAAGUUAAU
rfam:Anopheles funestus strain FTMOZ unplaced genomic scaffold supercont1.192, whole genome shotgun sequence.